GUCUAACCAACGUGUCCUAAAAUAGAACGAAACGCGAGUCCUAGAU
rnacentral:hammerhead_ribozyme from 1 species